GAUGACUCAGGUGCUGGCCACACAUACGUCUGGUUUAGCGAAGGGGAAAAAUAUGUCCCAUGUUGCUGUGAUGAUGACACAAGUUUGACAACCCUGGUCUAGACUCCUGAAGAUGACCUGGGUUGGUAGAAUAGGAUUUAGUAAUGGCUACUGAAAGCCAGUGAGGGAAAAACCUUCAUGACACAGAUGGUUCCAAGAGAAGUGAAGAACAUCAGAUCCUGUUCCUAUUGCCCUUCUACACAUCUACUGACUUCACCCUGGGAAUACCUUUUAUGAAUCCUGCAUGGAUCCUGAAUCAUCUCUUCUCUUGAGCUAACUUGAAUUGCUUUCACAGGCCAAAGCAGGUCAAUUAAAACAUUACAGUUAA